AAACUACUACUUGAAAGCUGCUAACUUUCUUAAAAUAUUUUAUAUUUAGUUUUU
rnacentral:tRNA from 1 species